rnacentral:rRNA from 1 species
UACGUGGGGGGCAAGCGUUGUCCGGAAUCAUUGGGCGUAAAGAGCGUGUAGGCGCCAGAAAAGUCCGCUGUGAAAACUCGAGGCUCAACUUCGAGCUGUCGGUGGAAACUUUCUGGCUAGAGUCCGGAAGAGGAGAAUGGAAUUCCUGGUGUAGCGGUGAAAUGCGCAGAUAUCAGGAAGAACACCCGUGGCGAAGGCGGUUCUCUGGGACGGUACUGACGCUGAGACGCGAAAGCGUGGGGAGCGAACAGG